AACGUAGGAGACAAACGUUAUCCGGAGUUACUGGGCGUAAAGGGCGUGUAGGUGGUUUCGUAAGUCUGGCGUGAAAUUUUUCGGCUUAACCGGGAAAGGUCGUCGGAUACUGCGGAACUAGAGGACGGUAGAGGCGUGUGGAAUUCCGGGUGUAGUGGUGAAAUGCGUAGAUAUCAGGAGGAACACCUGUGGUGUAGACAGCUUACUGGACCACUUCUGACGCUGAGACACGAAAGCGUGGGUAGCAAACAGG
rnacentral:rRNA from 1 species